CUAGUACGGGAGGCAGCAGUGGGGAAUAUUGCACAAUGGGCGCAAGCCUGAUGCAGCGACGCCGCGUGAGGGAUGGAGGCCUUCGGGUUGUAAAGUUCUUUCGGUAGCGAGGAAGGCAUUUAGUUUAAUAGACUAGGUGAUUGACGUUAACUACAGAAGAAGCACCGGCUAACUCCGUGCCAGCAGCCGCGGUAAUCUAG
rnacentral:rRNA from 1 species